UACGUAGGGUGCAAGCGUUGUCCGGAAUUAUUGGGCGUAAAGAGCUCGUAGGCGGUUUGUUGCGUCGGCUGUGAAAUCCCGAGGCUCAACCUGGGAACUGCAUUCGAGACUGCAUAGCUAGAGUAUGGGAGAGGGAAGUGGAAUUUCAGGUGUAGCGGUGAAAUGCGUAGAUAUCUGAAGGAACAUCAGUGGCGAAAGCGACUUCCUGGACCAAUACUGACGCUCAUGUGCGAAAGCGUGGGGAGCAAACAGG
rnacentral:rRNA from 1 species